rnacentral:lncRNA from 1 species
AAAGUCAUCAAUAACCAUCACAAAUAAUAGAAUGUUAUCUUUAAAGCCGUGAAUAAGAAUGUUUUUUGCUCACUUAUGUACGUGAUUUUUAAAUUUCAAUGGAGUUUAUUUGAGAUAUUGUGGCAAUAUCAUAAAUAAAAUCAAGUUUAUGGUGAGCAGUAGUAAAUCCUGCUCUGCAAUAUAACAUCACUGACAUCAACAGGCUCUUUCUUUAUCUCAGCCAGAAGCAGACCUUUUGAGUUAAAGUACCAAGUCAGGUAAUGGAGGUAUAAAAUGGCAAGUUCAAAAAAAAAAAAUGAACUAGUGUUUAGCAGUGUUUUGACAAUGAGGGUCUCAACAAAGGGGAAUCCUGGCAUAACAUGGCCUGGGGAAGUUAAAAUGGGAUCCCUCUGUACAUCAAACUAUGAAAUGUUUGAAAGUAUAAAAACACAUUUUCUUUUUUUUUUUUUUUUUUUUUUUUGAGAUGGAGUCUUGCUCUGUCACCCAUGCUGGAGUGCAGUGGCGCGAUCUCGGCUCACUGCAACCUCUGCCUCCCAGGUUCAAGUGAGUCUUCUGCCUCAGCCUCCCGAGUAGCUGGGACUACAGGCACACGCCACCACGCCCAGAAUUUUCUAGCAGAAUGGAAUUCCACCUGGGGCAGCAAGCUCAGUGGGAAUGUUCCAAUCAACCCAGAUGACUGACCCCUGCUAAGAAUGGUAGAGAGAAAGAUUCUACUGGAAGUCCUGUAAUGGACCUGCAAUCCUAUUUUCCAGGUCCCUGGCUCCAGGGCCCACUGUGACACAGGAUUCAUCCUGGCAUUCAAGUGCCUACACAACCUGGUUACCUCAUUGAUUGGCCCUUGCCCCGACUCUUCCCUAAGGAGAACACUCGAUACAGGAUGACCCUCUUCUACUUUCUUCCUCAACUUCAUCUUUCAGUUUCUCCAUUGUUCAUUUGUUGGCUCUUUUCUCUGCCUAAAACACCCUAUUCCUUUCUCUGCCACUCAAAUCCUGCCCAGACUUCAAAGCUCAGAACAAAUUGCAUCCCCUCUCUAUAAUCUUCACUGAGCAGCUUCAGCAAACAUUGCUAUUUUCCUUUCCUGAAUUCUUACUAUUGCACUAACUGGAAACUCCCAAUUCUGUUCUCCUUUUGUAUGGUUUCUGGUACCCAAGUCUUAUCAUUUCAGUAGGAUUGUAAAUUCUCAGUGGCAGGAAACAUACUUUAUAAUGAACACUUAAUAGGUGCUCAAUGAAAUUUCUUUCUUUCUCUUUUUCUUUCUUUCUUUCUUUCUUUUUUUCUCUCUUUCUCUUUCUUUUUUUUUUUUUUUUUUUUUUGAGACAGGGUCUUGCUCUGUCACCCAGGCUGGAGUGCAGUGGCAUGAUCUUGGCUCACUGCAACCUCUGCCUCCUGGGUUCAAAUGGAUUCUCAUGCCUCAGCCUCCCGAGGAGCUGGGACUACAGGCGUGUGCCACCACAUCCAGCCAAAUUUUUGUAUUUUUAGUAGGGAAGAGGUUUCACCAUGUUGGCCAGGCUGGUCUCAAACUCCUGACCAUAGUGAUCCUCCUGCCUCGGCCUCCCAAAGAGCUGGGAUUACAGGCAUGAGCCACCAGGCUUGGCCAUGAAAUUUUCGAUGAUUGAUAAGCCAUGUACUGAGCAAGCCUGGUAGGAGAAUUUUAUCAGGCCAAGAAGUCACUUAAAGAGCAUAAUGUUGAAUAAAUGACUAGUUUAUUAAAUGAAUUCUGAGUUUGUCAUUUAAAAUUUUUGUCUUUUAAAUGAGAGUAUAAAGUUGGAGACAAUUCCUGCAGCAGAUGUUUUGUGCCUAAAGCCCUGUUCACCUAAGCCUGCCUGGAAGCAGAAUUGUGGCUUGCUACUCUUGCUAUUAGGCAGGGACAUGGUACAGCUGUGAUGAGUGAUGUGCAUGGGUGUGUGCAUGGCCCUGCAACUGUCUGCCUUCUAAUCACAAUAUUUCUUCCCUCUGAUUUUUACGUUUAUCUUUAGUUAUAAUCUUGCAUUAUACUCAAAUUCUUGAGGAGAGCAGUGGACUUCUAUCUUAGUAAUGCCUUAAUUAAAACUUCAAUUAAGACGGGCGCGGUGGCUCCCAGCACUUCGGGAGGCUGAGGCAGGCGGAUCACAAGGUCAGGAGAUCGAGACCACCCUGGCUAACACGGUGAAACCC